GAGAAAGAAGACACCAGGAACCGGCUCCGCACCCCUGCCCUUCCCCCAGCCCUCCUGCAGCAGCGCAGACUUAGCAGCAGGGAGAUCUUGGAGAGAAGGAGGGAGAGGAGAGCAAGAGGAGAGAGGCACUGAUGCAGAGUUGAGGAGAGGCAGAGCCCGCACACCUUGCGCUUCUGCAGGACGCUCCUGCACCCCCAGUCGGGCGGGCGGCACAAGGUAGAGGUCAGGGCGGAACAAAAGGGAAGACCUGCGGAGCCCUGUCCUGUCCCCAGACCUGGAGUCGCCCUGCACCCAGGACCGGCUGAGUGUAGCCAGAGGGAAGCCUGGAGAGCCAGGGGAGGGAGCCCCAGCCCCAGGAUGUGGAGGACAGCUACCCUCGACCUGACCGGGGGGCCCUGGAGUCUGGGUAAGUGGAAGCAUGCCCUUGGUGUCCCCAGGGGGACACCUGCAUCCGGGCCAUAGGGCACCUCGUCCCAGGUGGGGACCUCACUGUGCAGGCAAGAGGAGGGUGGGCCCCGGCUGCUGAGCCGUGUCCAGAGGGUGGCUAUAGAGCUGGGCCAGGGGAGCAGCUGCCCGUCCAGGAGCGUCCCCUUUGCUGCAUGGGACUCCACAGGCAGGAGCCCCGUGUGCACCCAUGCUUGGUCUUGGGCUGGGGCACCGUGCCACCUGACCCCCACCUGGGCUCGGCCUCACUCCGGUCCCCGCAGAGUGGCCUGAGUGAUCCCUGUGCCCCGCUGAGGGGGUGGGGGAGAGGUCCUCAGUGGGACCCACUCCCCACACCUGCUGUCCCCCUCCUCGCAAUCCCGUCCAGCCACUUUCCUCCAGCACUACUGACGGGGCCAGUCCAGCGUGUGUAGCGAGGCGUGGCCAGCCCAAGGGUCUGCAGGCCCCUCUGCUGGAAGUUCUGGUGCAGGGGAGGGACCUCUGUCACCCAGAACCUGCUCCAGUUUCCUGCCCCACAGCACCGGCUGGGGGAGGCUGCCCCUGAGGUCACCUCACCUGGUCAGCUCCGUCCUCCCUGUGUCACAGCAGGGAGGCCUCAGGCCAGCCCAGAGUCGGCUGUCUGAGCUACCUCACGGCGGCAGGGUGGGCUGGGCACUCCUGUGCGAGGAGGAGCUGAGCUGUGGGCAAGUUCCCGACAGGGCUCGGCUACGGCCACAGCGUUGUCCCAGUCCCUCAGGAUAGCCCUUUGGAGUGGGAGCCCCGGACAGUGUCACUUCUACUUAGUAAAUGAGUGGACGAGGGACUCCAUCAAUCAACUGCUGAUAGAUCCACUGGCCACUGGACAACUAGGUCCAGGGCAGUGCAUCUCAGGGCCAGAGAUUCUGGCUGGAACCUGUUCAGGUGUGUCCAGCUGUGGGGCUAGGGGUGAUCCUGGGGUCCCAUGGGGGGCAGGACAGGAUCAGUACAGUCCCAGGCGGGGUCACCCCUACCAGGAAGGUGCUUCAAGAACCACAGUGGUAAGGGUCCCCGUCAGCAGAAGUUGUGCUGGACCCUCCCAAGGCUGCAUCUGUGGGCUCCCAGCUACUGCACCUGACACCUCGGGAAGCCCAUCACCCAGGAAAAUGAGGCAAAGACCCCGCCACCUCAGGGCUCCGUUCAGCAAGCUCUUGGGCUGUCUCCUGUGAUUUACACCUCAUCAAGGGCCCGUCCUCGACCCUGGACGAGGAGCAGGAUGGGUGCCAGGUCCCCUCAUCAGAGAGACUGCACCUGACAUUCUCUCCUGGGGACACAUGAGCAUUCACCUCUCAGCACAGCGUGGAGACGAAGCAGAGCCCAGUGUACAUCCCACACCUCAGAUGACCCCCGCUGGCGGAGCCAUCGGGAAACAGCCAGGGAGCUGCUCCAGCUGAGCCUGUGGACACGGAUGCUGGAGGCACCCAGAGAGAAGGCUGGCACACAGGGGCCUGGCCUAUCCAGGAGCCCCAUGAUCCUCCCUGCCCAGGACCUGCCAGGCUCUGCCAGCUCUGGUCAAUGCCAGAAAACAUCUGGGCCCUGGUCAGCUGGACAUUUCUCUUCUGUCUGAGUGCCACAGUCAUGCCUCUAGCUCCCAGGUGUCUCGUCUCUGUGGACUUCACACGCAUCUCUCCCAGCUGCCCCCCCACAAGCAAAGCGGCUGCCAGCAGAUCCAUGCCACCCUCUAGGAGGCCCACCAGGACUGCAGCCCCAGUGCCUCUGCACUCUCUCUCCAGCUGGACCCUGGCCCUGGGUGGCCAAGAAGGAGGAAAGGAAGGAGCAGCAGGAAGGACCACAGGCCCUCUCUGGGCUGAAACAUAACCGGGGGCCACAGAGCAGGGGAGGCCUGAGGGGCGCUGGGGAAAUCGAAGCCGACCCUGACCAGUGUGUGCAGGCCCCCUGCAGCCUCCGUCCUGGAGGAAGCCCUGAGUGCACAGCUGCCCGCCGCCUGAGCCUCUGCUGCCCUGGGUGGGAGGCUGCCCUGAGUCCGGAAGGCUCAGCCUCCUGGUGGGUUUUCUCAGGAAGCUGCUUGACAGCACAGGUCACCACCUAAGCCCUCAACUCCAGGCGAAAGUCCUUUGACCCACUCAACACAGAGCCAUCCUUUCCCCUGAGACACCACCCCGGGAUGUCCCCUGAGACAGGGGGUAGGGUCCCUGUGGCCCCCAGGAGGGGCAUCCAGACCCACUUCAGGGAGAGGGCCAUAAUCAGCCCACCUCAGGGACAGAGUGUGAGCGCAUGGCCAAGCAGGCAGGCCCUGGGGCCCAGGGCCACUCUCCCACUGGCCUCUGAAUUUUCUCAGAUCGCAUCUCCCAUCAGGACAGGUGGGCGGUGUCUCCGGCUGUGCUGGGAGGAGGUGAGCAUUCCGUGCUCCUCUCCAGUGCUCCCACGUGCGCCAGCGGCCACCUCCAGUUCCACCUCUGUGAGCCCUGCCCCCACUGCCCCCGGGAGAUGCAGCAGGGGUGUCAGAGGAGCCCUGCAGGCCAGGCAUGGGUGCUGGAGAACCCUGGUGGGAGUGCCUGAUCCCCCUCUCCCACACGGCGGGUCCUUUCUGGGUCCCCACCCUCCCUUCCUACCAGGAUCCCCAUGUCCCUCUCCCUCCCCACCAAGCAGAGCUUCCCCCGAGUCUGGGGAAGGGUUCUGGUGUUGGGGCCCAGGACACUUGCAUCCCCUUCAUCUUCAAACCAGUCAGCCCACACGGUUGCUCCUGAGGGGCUGGGGCCAGGCCAGGGCCUCUGUCCAGGCAGAGCUAGGGAUGUCACCUGCCCAUCUGUGCAGACUUGGUGAAGCUGCACGGAGAGCAGGUUUGGGACAGAGGACUCUUGCUCCAAGUGCCUGAAGGACAUACCUUUGAGCCACCAGGGUCCCCCUUGCUUGGUGGAGCCCUGCCCCUCCUCCUUCCCUGGGGCUCACUGAAGCCCCCUUGGAGGGGCAGGGCUCCAAGGCAAACUGUGGGGCCCCUGGGGCUGUCCUGUCCAGGUCACCUGGGAUAGACCCUGGCAGGGCCCUGCCUCCUCAUCACCAGCCCCAGAAGCUUGGGGUCCCUCCAGCAGAGGCCAAGUUCUCAGCUUCUCCCUGCACUUGGCCUCGGCCUCCGCCUCCUCCCGAAGGGCCCUGGGAGGGGCGCAGGCCCUGGCUCCCUUGAUCUUUAGCAUGAGCUCCCCACCUGCUUGGCCUAGAGGGCUCCUGGGGUCUCCCCUCCCAGGGCCGCCCCUGGCGUGUCCUCUGGAAGCCGCAGUUGGUCUGCUUCUUGUCACUGCCCUGAGAAUAUUCAUUCUGGGAUUGUUACAAAGGUACUUAAAAAACAAGUUCACUUGGAUAAGGGUCUGAACUGCUGCCAGGCACAGCUGCCGGAGGAGCCCGCGAGGAUGGGGGCAGGACGCCCUUCCCAGGGCCCCCGCGGGCCCUCUCUGGGGUUUUGUUUAAUUUGGGAUGCGUCUCUGUUCCCUGCGUAUAACAUUUACAAAUGUCACAGCGUGCUUGAGCUAUGAGGGGUCUGAGCCCUCCCCGAGGUAGACACCACGAGGGCCCUGGGCCAAGCCCCGAGUCCUGGGCAGGGACAUCCCAAUGCUGUCCGUCUCUGCAGGCAGCUGCUUCUGCAGCCCGUGUGCACUCUGGGGCCUGAGCUGCCUUGUCCUGAGCUGUCAUGGUGCCAGUCUUGAUCUCCAUCCCCAAAACCUCAAUCAGCAUAGGGAUGUGUCCCCAGGGCCAUCUGAAGAUCUUGCUGUGAGGGGAUGGUCACUACCCCAGAGAGGCUGUGGGAGGGCACAGCAGUGCCCAGCCAUAGGUGGGGGAGCCUCAGAGUGCUGGGGAGAGGUCACAGACCCAGAAGGUGCCACGGACCCUCUGCCGGUGUCAGGCCCCAGGUUGAGCACUUCCUGCAGCACUGCAUCCCACGCUCAGCAGUGCUGCCUGGCAUGGGCCAAGGGAACGCCACCCUGUGCAGACGUUCCCCGUGGAGGGGUGAUGAGGAGGGUUUCUACAGUGUGCAAGAAGAGGACCAGGCCUGGCUGCAGCCAGUUCCCAUGUCACCACCUGGGGAUCUGCUCCCCCUGGUGUGCUCUGCCUGCAGCCCAGGCACCCUGGACAUCCCACUAUCUCAGUCAGCUUUUCCUCACCGUGGCCAAAAUACCCCUAAAUAAAACAGGAGGGAAAGCUUAUUUGGGGCUCACAGCUUCAGAGGCCUCAGUCCGCAGCCCUGGGCCCAGGGUGCACACCAUGGGGGAGGGGCCCAACAGAGGGGAGCUGCCCCCUCCAUGCAGCCAGGAAGCAGAGAGAGGGGGAAGGGGCCGCAGGGAAGAGGCGCCUUCCAGGGCAGCCCCAUGACCACCUCCCACCACGCCCACCUGCAGUCUCCACCUAUCAGUCCACUCCAGCCAGGUGGGCUGCUGAGGUCGCAGCCCUCAGUCCAGCUGUGUCACCUCUGAACUCCCUGCACCAGCACAGGGGCACUGGGGGCCUCCUAAUAUCCAAACCAUGACAUUGUGCCCCUGGCUCCUAAAAGCUAAAGCCCAUCUCAAGAGCAGAAUGCAUUCAGUCAGUCCUGACAAGUCCCAUGUCUUAACAUUCCAGCAUUACUCAGAGUCCGACUCCAGAGUCUCCUCCGAGACCCAAGGCGAACUCCCAGCAUGAGCCCUGUAAAAAUAAAAAACAGAUUCAUGUGUUCAAAAUACA